AACGAACGCUGGCGGCAUGCCUAACACAUGCAAGUCGAACGAGACCUUCGGGUUUAGUGGCGCACGGGUGCGUAACGCGUGGGAACCUGCCCUUAGGUUCGGAAUAACUCCCCGAAAGGGGUGCUAAUACCGGAUAAUGUCUUCGGACCAAAGAUUUAUCGCCUUUGGAUGGGCCCGCGUUGGAUUAGCUAGUUGGUAGGGUAAAAGCCUACCAAGGCGACGAUCCAUAGCUGGUCUGAGAGGAUGAUCAGCCACACUGGGACUGAGACACGGCCCAGACUCCUACGAGAGGCAGCAGUUGUGAAUAUUGGAGAAUAGGCGAAAGCCUGAUCCAGCAAUGCCGCGUGAGUGAUGAAGGCCUUAGGGUUGUAUAGCUCUUUUACCCGGGAUGUUAAUGACAGUACCGGGUGAAUAAGCUCCGGCUAACUCCGUG
rnacentral:rRNA from 1 species